rnacentral:miRNA from 1 species
UUCGGCGAUGAGAUCAGCCUGUC